rnacentral:tRNA from 1 species
UAAAGGCUUUAGCUUAAUUAAAGCGUCUGGUUUGCAUCCAGGAGAUACAGGUUAGUGUCCUGUUGGUCUUA